rnacentral:rRNA from 1 species
GAUGAACGCUGGCGGCGUGCCUAAUACAUGCAAGUCGAGCGAACGGACGAGAAGCUUGCUUUUCUGAUGUUAGCGGCGGACGGGUGAGUAACACGUGGAUAACCUACCUAUAAGACUGGGAUAACUUCGGGAAACCGGAGCUAAUACCGGAUAAUAUUUUGAACCGCAUGGUUCAAAAGUGAAAGACGGUCUUGCUGUCACUUAUAGAUGGAUCCGCGCUGCAUUAGCUAGUUGGUAAGGUAACGGCUUACCAAGGCAACGAUGCAUAGCCGACCUGAGAGGGGGAACCGCCCAACUGGAACUGAGCACCGGUCCAGACUCCUACGGGAGGCAGCAGUAGGGAAUCUUCCGCAAUGGGCGAAAGCCUGACGGAGCAACGCCGCGUGAGUGAUGAAGGUCUUCGGAUCGUAAAACUCUGUUAUUAGGGAAGAACAUAUGUGUAAGUAACUGUGCACAUCUUGACGGUACCUAAUCAGAAAGCCACGGCUAACUACGUG